CAGAAUUGGCAUCAACUGAGGACCCCAUUGAGGCUCCUUGUCGUAAACUGCUAAUGGAAGUCAUCAAAAGUCUUGAUAGCCAUUUAAUUAAGUCCCCUCAUGAUAUCUACAUACCUAACUGUGAAAAAAAUGGUUUUUACAAAAAGAAGCAGUGCUGGUCAUCUCAGAGCAGGCAGCGUGGAAAGUGUUGGUGUGUGGAUCAGAAUGGCCUCCCUGUCCCUAAGAAGACCAAAUCACAAGGAAGCAUUAUUUGCUAAGGAGCUUUAAAGAAGACAGAUGAAGGAACUUUUUUCCCAAAUGAAUUGAACAUACUUUUUCAUGUGUUGCAUAUUCCAUCAGAUGGAAACAGAUUUUUCUCCCUGAGGGGCUGUUUUACAGAAAAGUCCAACUUUGUGUCCUUACGCCCUCUACUGACUGUGCUGAUUUACUUCUUUCACUUUUGCCUGUUAUUUGAAACAUACAUUCAGGGGAUAUCUGAUUGCAACUAAUAUAAAUGAAAAUACAAAACAUUAACACCAAAGCAUGUCAAUUAUGA